CCUUCUAGGUUUACAGAGGAGGCCAAGAAGGAACGACAUCCCUUUGCAUACCUGCCCUUUGGGGCAGGACCCCGUGGCUGCAUUGGCAUGAAGAUGGGUUUGCUGGAGACAAAAAUGACUCUGCUGAGGAUUUUGCAGAAGUUUCAAUUUAAGACCUGCUCAGAGACUGAGAUUCCUUUGCAGCUGAAAUCAAAAGCCACACUUGGACCAAAAAAUGGAGUCUACAUUAUGCUGGAAUCUCGCUAAAAGAAAAUGUACAUCCUGAAACCUCCUGGGAUUGGCAGCCCUUGUUCAGUGACUCAGUGGGUAUAAUUGUUUUUCAAAACCCCAAAGACAGGUAGGAGCCUAAGUCCCACUGAUGGUCAGCAGGUGCUGCCUCACUGCCCUCCUGUGGGACAUCCUCCAGUCACUUCUUAAAAUGAGAUGUGGGCUCCAUAGCCAUUUGGUGGUUUUCAGAUUGCUGUGAAUAGUAUCUGCAAAGAAGCAUCCCACUUUCACUUGCUAUUCUACAUUACACUUCCUUUCACUCAUCUUUGAGAAUGCUUUUUUCAUGCUCAAGUUCAAUGAAUGGAGCAGGUGUUAAGCGUACACUAGAUUUACAAUAGAUUUUAAUUACCAUUCAUUAUCUCACACAUCCUUCUCAUGCACUUCUAAGUCCCUACUCUAGAAAAAGCCCAAGAGGCACCACAGUUAUAGCAGAAGACCUGGGAUCCAGUACAUUGGAUUUUAUCCUGAACUCUGCUAAAAAUCAAAGCAGAGUCUCCUGUACAAUGCUUAAUCUCUCCCUGUGUCUGUAAAGUGGAAGGAGUUGCACCUUCUUCGUGCUUUUGAAGUGAUUUGAAAUAUGCUUAGAUUAACAAUUUGCACUUGGCACAUUGCAUCGACAUAAUUGGAGAGGAAUGAAGAGUUCCCCUGUUUACCAGUUAAGUUCCAGUAGCUAAGACCAAAGAAAUGAGGUGGCAGCCGUUUUGCUGGUUACUGAACUGCUGUUGGAAAGGUGGAGAAAAGAAGAUACAAAUUUAAUGAAAGCAGGAAGACUGGAGGAAAUUUAAGGGUAUUCAGAAGGUGUUGGUACAACAUCUGCUUCACUGCUUUGAGGCCUUUCCUUUCCAAGCAUUGCAGUUGGCACCAUCCUUGUCUAGCUCAUUGACUCAAGGACAUUAAGAGCGCUGCAUGCACUGAAGCCAAUGGCAAGGGAGUGGGAUCCAGGAUCAUCAGUCCCAGCAGCUCUUGAUUCCUCAUGUGACCCCGGAGCAGGUCAUGUCCCAAAUGUCUCACUCCAAUCAGGAAGGAACUUCUCUGAUUGCCAGCUGCAGCAGCACCAUAGAUCCAUUCAAGCUGUAUGGCUGUGCACAUGCAUCUACACAGCCAAAGCAGUACGCUUUCACGCUUCGCAUUCCCUCCAUGCUCUUUCCUACUCCUUGACAAAGCCCUUCAAUCACCACACAGCUAGUGGAGCAUCACACAGCAGUGAUCGAUUGACCUGAAAAAAAGACAUUUCCUUCACUGGGCACCACAAACUGGUUGGCUGUACAACAAAACCAUGAGAGGAGAUGGUCUCAGUCUCAGGGUCCUUUGUUUUUCUUUUUUUUUUUUUAAGUUUUUAUAAAUAGCAAAAAUUCUUAUGGCACCAUAAGAAUAAGGAAGCACCUUUCGGUUCUUUGCAAGUGUUGAAUUUCUGCUUGCUGGCAUAUUCUGCUCGAGGUUUCCUUAGGAACAGCAUCUGUCUUGGUGGUACGCACAGAGAAGUGUCAUGGCAGCAGUAGGAAGAGACUGACUGCUCAGCUUCACUGCAAGGAUUGCUGGAAGGAGCCAUCUGCUCACUGAUCCCUAGCUGUAGUUUCUCUCCAGCAAGCACCUUUUGCUGCCGUCUUCCCACACGCUGCCUUAACACUGAUCAAAUUACUGUUUCUUGCUCCUGGAAGAUUUUGUCUUUUUCUUUCAUGGGAUUUUUUUUUUUUUUUAAACCAGAACUGUGCAGGUAGUUGUGGUGAAGUACUGACCUGGCAGUCUUGGAAUUGUUCCUAUUUAUUUCCACGGAGCACCGCUGGCAUGCUAAUAAAGUGCCCUGUUACAGACACACUGGUUAUAUGAAUUACUGAUGGAGUGAUUGUUAUUUAUUUGAAAAGCAAUAUACUGUAUAUACCCUAAUUUCUACACAUUAUCCAUCAUUUUUCCCUCAUGAAAGUAGUGUGCUGGCAGCUGAUUUACUGUACAGCUUAUACAUACAACUGGCAAAAAGUUGGAUGGGCCUUGCCUAAAAACAUCCCACCUACCUGAAUGAGCAGGAAGCUCAUUCCAGUCUGAAGUUAGCUGUCAAAGGCUUGUUUGCCCCUUCAAAAAUAUCCUGUUAAUCACAGUGUGUUUGUGCACCCAUAUAACACAGUCCCAAACCGAUCCUGAGCAGAGUUGGCUUUAGUAUUCAUUAGAAAAAAACUACUAAAAAAGGAGUUAUGUUUAUACUUGCAACAUCAAAACAUAACUUUAUAUCUUUAAGUUAUGGUGAUUUAGCAUUUGUGGUACAGCACGCUUCAAUCAACAGCGGUUGAUUCUAGGGAGGAACAAGGAAGCCAAUUUAAAAUAACUUCUCUCCUCAGAAAGAGUAAAUGUGUUGUCUUGCAUUGCUGAGCCGUGGGUUUGUUUCAAAUUGGGCAUGUCUGUUUUACAAAAGGGUCUUAGUCAUUCUCUGACAGCUGAUACAAAGCAAAGGAUGCUUGGUAAAGGAAAGCUUCUAUUAAAAACAUCUUCUGGGACUUUGCAAUGAUUACAGAAAGCUGUCAGUAUAAAGUAUUUUUAAUGAGUGCUGAGAGAGAAAAACCUUUACAGUUCUGUACUUCAUAAAUAGUUUUCCUGGAAAAACAGAGCUGGGUGUUAAAAAUUAUUAUGCUUGAUUGAUUGUAAAUUUGAACCGUCUAUUCUUACCUGGCAUUAAACUGCAGAAUUUC